UUUUUCUUUUUUUUCCAAAACGCAUUAUGUAAUCAAUAAUAAAACAUAAUUACAAAAAUAUCCGCCUGCAUUGACCGUGACAUGAUAUCAACCAGACCGAUCGGAUUCGUCCUUGGUUAUUCAUCGUAUUACGUUCUUAGCUGCAUGUGGAAUUAAACGAGCGGCAAGUAACUCAAUGGCUCUUUCGUAACUGCGAAAUUGGAUAACUUCGACCUAUAUACAGGUAGAAAGGACUAAAUCGAUAUAAUACCUUGGCUUGUUUAACUCUUCGAAUGAAACGAGGUACAAAGAAAAAAAAAGAGCAAAAAUCUAUAAUCGAGCUUGCUUGCUUGCUUGUUUUAACGAAGUAAUGAAACGAAGAAACGAAAUCAGGAAGAUAUUAUUAUAUAUUGAUAUAGAAAUUCGAAAUUAAGGCCAUGCUGAUCUUUUUCUCUUUAUAGAAAAAAAAGGAAAGAGAGAAAGAUAUAAAAAAAAGAGAAAGAAAGAGAGAAAAGACUAACUCUACGUGAUAUCUAACGGUACAAUAUAAAGUAUAUAUACGUCGCGGUAACGUGACAGGAGAUUCAAUAAGGAUACGAUAUGCCCAACGACGUCCAAUAACUCAGGCUCUCGUUACAAUGCGAUCCUAACAAUUACAAAUAACCCUCGCAUUGGCGUUCGCACGGUCGUUGAUCGACGACGAUAUCCUCGUCUUCGAAUCGCUUAGUCGUUUACAAAGGGUCCUUCCUGGUAGAUAAUCGUUUCGUGGAAGUCGUUCGCGUCCUGGAGCUCGUUGGCAGCUGAACAACUUUGACUCUUUUGAUCGAAGAUAGAAAGAAAAAAGAGAAAGAGAGAACGAAAGAAAAAAAGAAAGAGAGAGAGAGAAAGAGAGGAUAUAAUAAUAAUAUAAUAAAAAACCCCUCCCCGAAAAAAAGAAAGGGAAAAAAACUUAAUACAGUAUAUCGAAGACGUAAUGACUGUAAGCGAACAACGUCGACGUCGAAUAUGACGACGACGACGACGAAAUGGCGAACGAAUCGAAAAACGAUCGAGCAGGCACGUAAUGGGCCAUCGGCUCCGUAUUUUUCGUCGAUUAUAACCCAAUCAACGAGCCAAGCCGCGAAAGUAGUGGUGGAUGAGGGCUAAUAUGGAGCCGGAUUGCAGCUGGCCGUACCGUUUGCGCAAUGCAGGAUGCACUAAUAUGGUUUCGCGAGCUUCGAUAGAAAGCAAGAUACAUACGUUAUGAGCCCGUCGUCGCUUGUUUUGCAUACGCGUUGUGUGCGCGCUGAGAGCAAAAAUCUUUCGUUCUUAUAUUAUGUGAAAAGAGAGAGAGAGAGAGAGAGAGAGAAAGAGAGAAUGAGUUUCGGGUCAACGGGCGUAGUUCUUUUCACUCAACUUUUUUCUUUUCUUUUUUCCGAUAUUAAACUCCUGCAGAAUCCGUUAAAUCUCGAUGUGAAGUUAUAUAAAGCAUUCAAGAUUAAUGCUUAAUUAUCGAAUUUAAAAAUCGAACAAGUAAAUAUAUUGAAUUGUACCGAAAACACAUUUCGAUUGUUUUAAAUGAUACGCAUGAUUCGAAAUGAACCCCGAUAAAUUUAUUUAUUACAAAAAAAGAAGAGAAAAAAAAAGAAAUUAUAGACUUGAUUAUAUGGCUUUCGAUAUACGCAUGUUUAUGCUUUUUUUCUUUUAAUAAUAGUAUCGUUAUACAUCUAACGUAAAUACUGAUACAUUUUGAUACAUAUCAAUCAGUAAUCAUGUAUAAACAGUAGAUGCGAAUUUUCCUGAAAACCCUCUUACAUUCUCUUUCUAAACCCUUUCUUCUUAUAUUUACCAAAAAGUUAUAUUAAACAAUUAAACAAAGUUAUAUAAAUAUAAAUGCAACUAUAGUUAUUAACUCAAAAGAGUACUCUCCGUGAUAUUGGUCUUAGAACAUUGUACCACGAUUUAUUUCAUUCUACCGAUUCAUUUGCGCAGAAAACGUUUUGAAGGACGAAAAAUGAAUUUCCAUUAGAGGACAUAGAAGUGAGAGUUAGUCCUCUCCGUGUAAUUACACCUGUCGCGUGAGAUGCUGAGAGAAAAGGUCAUCGAUGUUGCGACAAAGUGACAAAGGGAAACGUUGACGACGACGACGACUACAACGACGACAAUGAUGGCAUCUGCCUUCCUUGGACGCUUUCGUUCAAGUCAACGGCCCUAAACUACAGGCGGAAGGGGCGGAAACGUCGAGCUGCACAUAAAUAAGUGCCUGGAAACCACAAUGCCUUCUCAGAGACGUCGCGUGUGGGCAGACGAAGCGGUAUGGACGCCUUUCUCUCUCUCUCUCUCUCUCUCUCUCUCUCUCUCUCUCUCUCUCUCUCUCUCUCUCUCUCUCUCUCUCUCUCUUUCUUUCUCUUUCUCUCAUCUUCGACCUGAAAAUCAAUGUGAAACAAUUUGACCGAAGACCUUUCACGUGACAUAUCGUAAAUCUCUGGUACAUCGAAGGAAUUAUUUUUACCGGUGCCUCUUCUCUCACAACGUGAUCUACGCUUAGACUCAUAUUCAAAAAUAAGAGACAAACUAGAAAAGAUAUGUAUAGGUAGAUAUAUACGUAUGUAUGUAUAGGUAUGUAUAUAUUUAUGUAUGUGUAUAUAUGUAUAUAUAAUAUGAAAGAAAAAAAGGAAGAUGAUCAUAGUUCCAUCAACUAAAUUGAGUCGUAAUCUCGAUCGAUUGUAUGUUUGAAACUUUCAUCGAUAGUAUUAUACUAUACUACUAUUAUUAUUACUACGUAAAUGUUCUUGACGCUCGUUAAGCUGGUUUCUUGACUUAUGAUUAUUCCUGGUGAAAAGCGAAUAAUCAGGAAAAGUAUUAAUGAAAGAGAAUCGUUAAGAAAUAAAAGAGGAGAAGACAGAGAGAGAGAGAGAGAGAGAAAGAGAGAGAGAGAGAGAGAGAGAGAGAGAGAGAAAUGUAUGGAGUAAGACGAAAAAAAUAAAGUGUAAUGGGUUCUAGUAUAGAAUUUGAAUUAAUAAUACUCUCUCUUUCUUUCUUGGUUUUUUAUCUCUAUUUUCUAUCAAACUCGAAUAUUAUGCUCAAACGUAUAAAAGCUAGCUCAAUGUCGUCUUAACGCGCGUGCCACGUUGAAUACCGGUAUUCCAAGACGAUUAUUCCCUGCGAAUGUACUCGAAACGACGUAAACGCUCUCGCUCUCACUUAAGAGAAACGCAGUGUAUAUCGUUCGAUGAUUACACGAUCAUCGAAUUACAGAGUUAUGGAAGUAAGAGGCAAAACGAUUAUAAGAUUGACGAUUGUAAUGGAAUUUCUCGGAUGAGACUCGUUACGGACAAAACUUAUUUCUUUCGUGGAAAUGACAUUAACUCUUACUUCCCGUAUCCUUUAGUUAACAGCAUACUACAUUAGAAGAAAUCCUUGGAAAUCGUUUUGUGGUGAAAUCGCAACGCAUAUCAUGUUACAUGACGACUGAUUUCUUAGAAGACCGAGAGAGAUAAAUCGAACGUACGAUACACCGAAUUUUCAAUGUUUCUUUUUCUUUAAAUCGUAUUACUAUUAGCUAUACGAGAAAUUUAAUUGAGACGAUGUUAACCUUCGAACGUUCGCUAUAGAACUGAGAUAUCGUUUAUCUUCGGUAAAAGAGACGAAUAAACACUACGUGCUCCAUACGUACUCACAGAUUUAAAAAAAAAAAAAAAAAACAAUCAAUCGUAUUUAUCUAUUGGCUUCAAUGAUUUCCAAACUACAAUGAAUGUCAAUAUCAUUGUUAAUCUUGAGAUACAUUAUUUUGAAAUAAAUAAGUACGUAAAUUUUAUUUUAAAAUUUGUUUGUUUGCAAAAGUAACGAUAAUAUGCCUUUUAAAAAGUUAUUGCUAAUUGUGAAAACUAUUGUUUACAAAGUAGUAAUAAUGUCUUUUUAAUAGAAUUUGAAAACAUCUUAGAGUUUACAAUUUUUCCAAAUAUGUAAGUGUACAUACAUCUCAACAAUUACGUUAAUAAACGACAAAUUUCUCUUCUUAUUUCUACCAUAAAAGUCAAACCUCUUUCUAGAAAGCUAUGUUACAGAAGCGUGAUCGUUGGGGCAAUGCUUGCUAUCGUUGAGGCAAGAACGCUUCAUUCAUACUUUUACGGGCCAUUUACGGUCGCUUUACGUCGGCGUAUCGGUCUUAUCAGCACUUCUGUACCGCCUACGAUUUUAAAUGUGCUUGAACAAAGCUAGAAGUAGAAAAUGAAGGAAAUAUUGUGCACUGCAGGAAGUACUACCUGCUGUGACAAACUCAUUGCAAAACUCGUCCUAUCAAUGAAAAUUCAAUAACGAACACAUCUUUGAAAUCGAUCGUCCAUUGCCACUUUGUUCACAAACGAUAAAGUUUUAUAAGGACUCCCCUAAACGAUUCUUAGUACGCUUUAUUUCGAUAAAUAUCAUUUACAACUAACAUAUACAUUAACAUGUGAAACUAACACUACCUUAAAAAGUGACGGUUGAAUGAUAACAUAUGUAUGUAUGCGUUCGUGCACGCGUGUAUAUGUAUGUACAUAUAUAUAUAUAUAUAUAUAUAUAUUAUGUAUGCAUGUAUGUAGGAGUAGAUGGACGAUAACUUAACCUUUUUUACGAAGUAGAUAGAUCUUCGUAUCUCCUUUAGAAACAAACAGAGAGACUACUGCUUCGUCUUCGCAGUAGAUAUACUACCGACGUGACCUCUGCCAGAUGUUCUUCGAAACUCUUCCUUCUUCUUUGGAAAAACUAAAAUCCGUUAUUUGCCUUUAACCUGAGAAAGCUUAUAUUUUUAUAAAAACAAAAUCAUUAAUAUCAAGGAUCGACAGACUAAAAGAUCAAUUGAAAGAAAUACUUUACUAUUAAUCAAGAAUAAAUUUCAUGCGAAUGUAUCAAAAGAUGAUGACUUUCGUCAUUUUAAGUCAGAUACUUCUCGUCCCGCAAAUUCUUCGGAGUUUAUCGUCUGCUUUUUUACAUCUUUCGUGAAACAUCGUAAAAUCGUGUGGCCGACCCAUUAACGUUUUACGACACUGCUACAUAUGGUAGAGGGUUUCUCCUUUCGAUGAUUCUUUUCGUGGAAUCCUUGUGAUAUUAACUGAACGAACGUUCGCAAUAAAGUAUGUCGAACACAAAAAGAAAAAAAAUACAAUUAAUUUUUUUUUCGCUCAUUUAUCAUUCAAUGAAGAAGUUUAGAGCUUAUUUGAUAUAAUUAAUCGACUUUAACGAUAUUUCCAGAGAAAUUAUAACCUACAUGUUGGGAAGACCCAACGAUACUUUAUCAUUAUGCUAGUUAGUUUUUUUAAACUUAAGUACAUAUAUCUUCUCAAAAUAUAUAAACAUUUUCAUGUUUCAAUGUCGAACUUUAUACGAGUUCUACGUAUAUACAUAAUUAAACACUUUCUUUUCCACUACUUGACGCUUUUAUCUCCGCAAAUAUAGUGAUUCGCCUUACGUUCGUUGAAAAACCGUUGGAACGGUCACCAACGUUUAAUAACGGUCAGUUUUUGCUACAGCGUUAACACCUUGUGAAUAUAAAUGUACUAUGCGCAUAUCUCGAUAAAGGUAACAAUUAUAUCGAUAUUCGAUAUUAUACGUAUUGAACUGUGUACCAUGAUUUUUAUAUAUUUGUUUUUAUAUUCGAUUAUGAUUUUUUUUUAUUUAUUUUAUUUCAUCAUCGUGUAGAUUAUAAUUAAGAUAAUAUAAAUCACUACGUAUUAGUCACUAUAAAUCUACAUUAAUACUGUUCGAACAUUAUUUAUAUAAUAAAAGAUUUUAUUUGAAAAUAAUGAGAAAAAGCGACAUGUAUAUACAACAUAUGUUACAUAGAAAUAUAUAUAAUAGAAAUAUAAAAUUAUGAAAAUAAGUAAAUAAUUAUCAUAUAAAUAUGUAAAUAUUCUACUUGUACUAAUGUUAGUAACGUUUGUAUUUCAAAGCUCAUAUAAAAAAUAUAAGAACCUCGUAACUGCACAUAAAAGUGCAUAUUCUUGAAUACUUGCACAGAAGUCUUUUUCAAUAUACACAACAGCUACGUAAAAACUUUAUAUCAUCAAGCUCGUUUAUUCUAUCAGUUAUUAUAUUGUGCCUUUAUAUUUCUCUUACAAAUCGUACUACUUGUAUUAAAUAUUUGAAAUAUGGACUUCUUAGACUUCUGCCAUUUAAAAAAUGUUUAAAAUCUUAAUCUAAUUCUCUUAAAGAUCUAUUUUCAGAUCUAUAAUAUUCGAUAGACAACAUACUAUUAUUAUUGAUGGUUUAUUAAUCGUUCUUGCACUCUGGCAAGACUUAUGAAAUAGAUCAUGAGACAACACCUAAAACUAGACACAAACGAAGUAAAAAAGAACACAACGUAGGUGUAGAGCAUUUCAGCUUACUUUGGUGUUGAGUAUGUAGUCAAAGGCACUUUUUUACUAAUAAAUUAUUGCAAUAUACCUAUCACGGCCAAA